CAUUUACCAUUUAGUUUGACACAAAAACAAAGCUUUCAUUUUUCAGUUAAUUUUACUGCAGGAAUUAAAAACUCCUGCAUCACCAGGAUCACAGCAUUAUUUCAGAAAUAAUCUGUAAAUGUAUGUCUACUAAACAUCAAAUGGAGCAAAGACAACAUUGUCUGGCAAUAACAAAGGUAGAAGGUAUCCGGACUUUCUUGUCAGGAACAUUGAGACUGAUACAUCUGCUACCAUCUACAGCAGUGCAGUACCUCAACUACUUCAGACAGGAAAUACUACUACCGGUACCACCACCUACUACUUCUACUGCUACUACUACUGCUGGUAC